AAAAGCUGAUAUUCAUAUAGUGUUGUUCUAUAUAAUAAUGUUAAUGUGUUCCCCUCCCUUAAUGCUUCUUAUGCAGGGAUCAAAGUUAGGAACUCUUACACAUUUGGAGAUCAAUAUGUUCACUUCAAUGUCAGCAUUCCAACAAACUUGACCCAAAGACAGCGGCAAUUGAUUGAGGAGUUCGCCAAAGAAGAGCAAAGGGAUUAUGAUAAGGGUGCUGCUGCUGGUGCGUCGGGUUGAACAAUCACUCCAUGGUAAUUGCCAAAGUCAUGCAUAACGAAGGCAAAACAGGAUGUUCUGGCAGCGUUCUGGCAGCAGAUUUUUGCGUUGAAGGUUUGAUAAUUUAAUUUUUUAUCCCUUCCACAAGCUGGGUAAUAUUAACAGAAGACAAUCCAUUAUAGUUCUCAUUACUUGAACCGAUUUUGAUCUCUUAGCUAUGUUGUACAUAUAGACAAAUUAAUCUUACCAUUCAGCACAUCAGAUGCUUGCAUUUAGGUUACUUUCCUAUGUUAGUCAUUGUUCUCAGCUUAGUGGCAAUAAUUUUCCUGCAUAAACUGGAGAGAUGUAGUUUGAAUGUAGAAUUUGAAGUUGGCUUGCAAUAAUGAAGCUUCUAUACUAGUAUAA